GACGAACGCUGGCGGCGUGCUUAACACAUGCAAGUCGAACGGAAAGGCCCUGCUUUUGUGGGGUGCUCGAGUGGCGAACGGGUGAGUAACACGUGAGUAACCUGCCCUUGACUUUGGGAUAACUUCAGGAAACUGGGGCUAAUACCGGAUAGGAGCUCCUGCUGCAUGGUGGGGGUUGGAAAGUUUCGGCGGUUGGGGAUGGACUCGCGGCUUAUCAGCUUGUUGGUGGGGUAGUGGCUUACCAAGGCGUCGACGGGUAGCCGGCCUGAGAGGGUGACCGGCCACAUUGGGUCUGAGAUACGGCCCAGACUCCUACGGGAGGCAGCAGUGGGGAAUAUUGCACAAUGGGCGGAAGCCUGAUGCAGCAACGCCGCGUGCGGGAUGACGGCCUUCGGGUUGUAAACCGCUUUCGCCUGUGACGAAGCGUGAGUGACGGUAAUGGGUAAAGAAGCACCGGCUAACUACGUG
rnacentral:rRNA from 1 species